GCAGCCCACGUUGGAAGUUGGAACAUGUAGAGUUUGAUAUGAUCACAACUACCUUGCAUACACAGUUGAUAAUUUUGGGGGUGAAAGGCUCUCUUUAUAUUCACAUAAUGUCAGAGGUUUUAACUCAUCUGCUUGGUUUUCUCCAUUUUUUCCAGUUCUAUUCAGUGAGUCACGAAGCUGUAGCUUUUAGUUUUUCAAGUCUGAGUUGGUCCACAGUUUACUCGACGUCCAGUUUGUCGGCCUUUCCGCCAUUACAACCACUUCCAUGAGAAGGAUAUGUACUUUCAUUUUAUCCAUUUUGAAUUUUUACACUUUCUCAUCUCUUUGAUGUCGAUACGUUGUGUGUUUUAGUCUAAUUGCAGAGAUAUAGAAGAUUUGCACUGACAUCCGGUGUGGUGCUCAGGAGGCACACGAUAUCUAUGAUUCUAUCAUGAGGAUCUCACAUGUGGUAGUGGUUGGCGCUGCAAAUGAAAGUCCUUGGAGCAUGAAGUAGAUACCAGAAGAGGGUUGCUGACAUUAUUUCCAAAAUGAAUGGAAUUGUGACCAUCAACUCACAGCUGAGGGCUCAUAUAGUUGAUUGAAACUUCUGGAAAUGCAAGUGACGAUGAUAACUAUUAGAACUUAAGUUACAUUCAGAUCACCACAAAACCUUGACACUUAAGGCAAUGGCAGGAAAAUGAGGUUGAAGAGGGUGGUGAGGGUGCCAAUAUGGGUGAUAAUGUGAUAUAUUCCAUCAGAUGGUUAUUCUUGGAGGAAGUAUGGAAAAAAAACCUAUUAAAGGAUCCCCUCAUCCAAGGAAAAAACCUAUUGGUGUGAAUUAUCCCAAAGGCAAAAGAAAUGUGCACUUAUCGGGAAGUUUUCCUAAUUGGAUCUAUAAAGAUAUUGUUUUGUUAAUCAUUCUUUGCAAAGGGUGCUGAUUAUUUACUCAUCUAUCCGCUAUUUGCUGCUAUUUUUCCGCUUUAAGGGCUUGACAUAGUGGAUUUUUGGCUUUCCACAUUAACAACAUUGUUGUAUGUUAUCUGUAAGAGUUCUCAAUAUAGGUACGCUUAAAUGGUGUUGCCACCUUCAUUGGUAUUA